rnacentral:rRNA from 1 species
AGAGUUUGAUCCUGGCUCAGGAUGAACGCUGGCGGUGCACAUAAGACAUGCAAGUCGAACGGAAAUCGUUAUUAAUGGAAAUAAGAUUUAUCUGAAAUAAGUUAAUAACAAUGAUUUUAGUGGCGGACUGGUGAGUAACACGUAAGCAACCUGCCUAUUAGAGGGGAAUAACAGUGAGAAACCACUGCUAAUACCGCAUAAGCUGACAAUACCGCAUGGUAUAGUCAGAAAAGGAGAAAUCCGCUAAUAGAUGGGCUUGCGUCCGAUUAGCUAGUUGGUGGGGUAAAGGCCUACCAAGGCAACGAUCGGUAGCCGAGCUGAGAGGCUCAACGGCCACAUUGGGACUGAGAUACGGCCCAGACUCCUACGGGAGGCAGCAGUCGGGAAUAUUGCACAAUGGAGGAAACUCUGAUGCAGUGACACCGCGUAUAGGAAGAAGGUUUUCGGAUUGUAAACUAUUUUAGACAGGGAAGAAAAAAGACAGUACCUGUAGAAUAAGCUCCGGCUAACUACGUGCCAGCAGCCGCGGUAAUACGUAGGGAGCAAGCGUUAUCCGGAAUUAUUGGGUGUAAAGGGUGCGUAGACGGGACAGCAAGUUAGUUGUGAAAGCCCUCGGCUUAACUGAGGAACUGCAACUAAAACUAUUGUUCUUGAGUGCAGAAGAGGACAGUGGAACUCCAUGUGUAGCGGUGGAAUGCGUAGAUAUAUGGAAGAACACCAGUGGUGAAGGCGGCUGUCUGGUCUGCAACUGACGCUGAGGCUCGAAAGCAUGGGUAGCGAACAGGAUUAGAUACCCUGGUAGUCCAUACCGUAAACGAUGAGUGCUAGGUGUUGGAGGGUUCCGCCCUCCAGUGCCGGAGCAUACGCAUUAAGCACUCCACCUGGGGGAGUUCGACCGCAAGGUUGUAACUCAUAAGGAAUUGACGGGGGCCCGCACAAGCGGUGGAGCAUGUGGUUUAAUUCGAAGGUACGCGAAGAACCUUACCAGGUCUUGACAUCUUGCGCUAACCUUAGAGAUAAGGCGUUCCCUUCGGGGACGCAAUGACAGGUGGUGCAUGGUCGUCGUCAGCUCGUGUCGUGAGAUGUUGGGUUAAGUCCCGCAACGAGCGCAACCCUUGUUACUAGUUGCCAGCAUUAAGUUGGGCACUCUAGUGAGACUGCCGGUGACAAACCGGAGGAAGGUGGGGACGACGUCAGAUCAUUAUGCCCCCUAUGACCUGGGCUACACGCGUGCUACAAUGGACGGUACAACGAGUCGCAAGCUCGCGAGAGUAAGCUAAUCUCUUAAAGCCGUUCUCAGUUCGGACUGUAGGCUGCAACUCGCCUACACGAAGUCGGAAUCGCUAGUAAUCGCGGAUCAGCAUGCCGCGGUGAAUACGUUCCCGGGCCUUGCACACACCGCCCGUCA